rnacentral:tRNA from 1 species
GUGGGCGUAGCUCAGUUGGUUAGAGCAUCGGUUUGUGGUACCGAAGGUCGCGGGUUCGAGUCCCGUUGCCCACCCCA